rnacentral:rRNA from 1 species
CCCCGGGAACUGGGGCUAAUCCCUGAUAGGUGAGGACGCCUGGAAUGACCCCUCACCCAAAGGACGUUGAAACCAUGCUUUUCAGCGUUGCCUAAGGAUGGAGCCGCGGCCGAUCAGGUUGUUGGUGGGGCAAAGGCUCACCAAGCCUAUAACCGGUACGGGCCAUGAGAGUGGGAGCCCGGAGAUGGGCACUGAGACAAGGGCCCAGGCCCUACGGGGCGCAGCAGUUGCGAAACCUCCACAAUGCACGAAAGUGUGAUGGGGCUAACCCGAGUGCCGUCCGCUGAGGAUGGCUUUUCUCCGCUGUAAGGAGGCGGAGGAAUAAGGAGAGGGCAAGACUGGUGUCAGCCGCCGCGGUAAUACCAGCUCUCCGAGUGGUAGGGACGAUUAUUGGGCUUAAAGCGUUCGUAGCCGGCCUGGAAAGUCUCUCGUCAAAUCCAGCGACCCAAUCGCUGGGCCGCGGGAGAUACUACUAGGCUUGGGAGCGGGAGAGGCCGACGGUAUUCCCGGGGUAGGAGUGAAAUCCUGUAAUCCCGGGAGGACCACCAGUGGCGAAGGCUGUCGGCUAGAACGCGUCCGACGGUGAGGGACGAAAGCUGGGGGAGCGAACCGGAUUAGAUACCCGGGUAGUCCCAGCUGUAAACGAUGCGGGCUAGGUGUCGGUGUGGCUACGAGCCACUCCGGUGCCGCAGGGAAGCUCUUAAGCCCGCCGCCUGGGAAGUACGGUCGCAAGGCUGAAACUUAAG